UGAUUGUUUAAUCCAAAUUCUCAAUUCCAAAGUUCUUUUUCUAAAUAAACUUUUUCUUAAUUCUUUGGUUUUAUUUUAUUAAUUCUUCGAUGGCAUAUCAGCUUAUUCAUUUGAAUGAUAAGUACAUCUCCGGCUUUCAAUUACAAAUGGCCAAAGAUCGAAUUUUUGAGACAUACUUAAACAAUUUAAGCAAAGGUGCACCGGAGGUCAUUCAUGGAUACUUGCGUGAUGCAGUCUUUUUAUACAUGGCCCUCUAGAGGACUAAAUUGGAUCCCCCACUCAUGAAUGCUUUGGUCGAGAGAUGGAGACCAAAGACGCACACGUUCCAUCUCCCCUGCGGCGAGUGUACAAUUACACUCAAGGAUGUCAGUUUACAACUCACUCUACCGGUCGAUUGGGAUGUCAUUACAAGGUCAGUUGUUAGUGUCAAUUGGAGUGCAACAUGAGAACAACUGCUGAAGAAGGUGUCGAACAGGUUUAGGGACAACCCCACGAGCCACAACGAUAUACCGAUCAAGCUUGAGGACAUUCGACUUGCUUUAGAUCAAGAAAUUGAUGAGGAGUUCGUAUGGAUGCCAUACAAGGAUCCAAGGAUUCAAUCAUAUGACUCGAACGAUUUUUUGGCCAACCGCGGCAUUUGGCACAUGAAAGUUUUAUUAGUUUUUGCAACAGUCGAGAUGCAUGAAUCCAACCGCGUGAUGCAACAGUUCAAGUGUAUGCAAUGUAUUCUAUGGCAACCUUAGGAGCUCGAUGACCUGCACAAUAUCAAAAAGGAGUUGGCAACAUCUUCGGAUUACAUGGAUUAGUUUAGGCAUCAGGGAAAGUCGUAUCUACUGCCAGCUUCAAAAAAGAGUAGGCAACGUCGUCGUAAAAGGCCAAGACGAUGGCACAUCAAUCCGAGGUCGGGAGGAUAUCGACAUCUGCUCCACAUGCACACGUGGGCCCCAAUUCCCGUGCAACCUCCUAGACAAUAUGUUUAAUUUAUUCUUGUCAACUAACUGAUUUUAUUUUACACCAUAAUCACAAUACACACUAGUUUAUUUUACACCUGCACCAUAGCACGCAUAAUCAUUCCGUGCACCAACACAAUCAUCACCAGUUUAUUUUAUACAAGCACCACAACACGCGCAACCAUUUCCUG